AUGAACGCUGGCGGCAGGCUUAACACAUGCAAGUCGAGCGGAGAGAGGUAGCUUGCUACUGAUCUUAGCGGCGGACGGGUGAGUAAUACUUAGGAAUCUGGCUAUUAGUGGGGGACAACAUUUCGAAAGGGAUGCUAAUACCGCAUACGUCCUACGGGAGAAAGCAGGGGAUCUUCGGACCUUGCGCUAAUAGAUGAGCCUAAGUCGGAUUAGCUAGUUGGUGGGGUAAAGGCCUACCAAGGCGACGAUCUGUAGCGGGUCUGAGAGGAUGAUCCGCCACACUGGGACUGAGACACGGCCCAGACUCCUACGGGAGGCAGCAGUGGGGAAUAUUGGACAAUGGGGGGAACCCUGAUCCAGCCAUGCCGCGUGUGUGAAGAAGGCCUUAUGGUUGUAAAGCACUUUAAGCGAGGAGGAGGGUACUGGUAUUAAUACUACCAGGUACUGGACGUUACUCGCAGAAUAAGCACCGGCUAACUCUGUGCCAGCAGCCGCGGUAAUACAGAGGGUGCGAGCGUUAAUCGGAUUUACUGGGCGUAAAGCGUGCGUAGGCGGCUAAUUGAGUCGGAUGUGAAAUCCCCGAGCUUAACUUGGGAAUUGCAUUCGAUACUGGUUAGCUAGAGUGUGGGAGAGGAUGGUAGAAUUCCAGGUGUAGCGGUGAAAUGCGUAGAGAUCUGGAGGAAUACCGAUGGCGAAGGCAGCCAUCUGGCCUAACACUGACGCUGAGGUACGAAAGCAUGGGGAGCAAACAGGAUUAGAUACCCUGGUAGUCCAUGCCGUAAACGAUGUCUACUAGCCGUUGGUCUCUUUGAGGGAUUAGUGGCGCAGCUAACGCGAUAAGUAGACCGCCUGGGGAGUACGGUCGCAAGACUAAAACUCAAAUGAAUUGACGGGGGCCCGCACAAGCGGUGGAGCAUGUGGGUUAAUUCGAUGCACGCGAAGAACCUACCUGGUCUUGACAUAGUAAGAACUUUCCAGAGAUGGAUUGGUGCCUUCGGGACUUACAUACAGGUGCUGCAUGGCUGUCGUCAGCUCGGU
rnacentral:rRNA from 1 species